rnacentral:rRNA from 1 species
UACGUAGGGGGCCAGCGUUGUCCGGAUUUACUGGGCGUAAAGAGCGCGCAGGCGGUCGUUCAAGUCGAGUGUGAAAGCCCCCGGCUCAACUGGGGAGGGUCAUUCGAUACUGAUCGACUCGAAGGCAGGAGAGGGAAGUGGAAUUCCCGGUGUAGUGGUGAAAUGCGUAGAUAUCGGGAGGAACACCAGUGGCGAAGGCGACUUCCUGGCCUGUUCUUGACGCUGAGGCGCGAAAGCUAGGGGAGCAAACGGGG